UCGUCCCCCCUGGGCGCAAGCCCGGCGUUGCAGGCUCCAUCCUCCCCAAUCCCCUGCCUCUCUUCAUCUCCUAGAUCCCACACGCCGUUGCAGCCAGGCGUCCCCAUGCCUCCAUCCGCUCCGCGCCCUCCCCUGCGCCUCCUCCUCCCUCCCCGGUGCUCAGCCUCCCCGGGUAUGAGGUGAGAGGAGCACGAGCCAGCACCAAAACGCAUCGGAGGGUGCCUUGAAAGAUUUUUUUCUGGUUCGAUUUGUUUUCCUGUUUAGAUUUGCUAUUCCGGUUGGAUUUUCUCCUGCCUCCUCUUUUUCGGGUUCGAUUUGCGGUUUGAUUUGCUUUGCUUUCCUCUUCCUCGGGUUCGGUUUGCUUUUCUUUCGCCUUCGUCUUUUUUUCCACGGUAGAGAAGGUGGCACGGCUGCGGGGCCGGGCAUGGAGGCUGCGGCGGCGUAGGGGUGCGGCGGCGGUGGUGGAACAGGGCGCGGGAUCGCGGAGGAGCAGCGGCGGCGGCGAGCGGUGGUGGGUGGCUGCUGCGCAAGUGGCUGCUGUGCAGCCUGCACUCCGCCCCCCUCAUGGACUCAGGUAGGAGGCGCAGUUGAAAGGGCACAACCAAGGAGCAUUUCUAGGCUCUGAUUCGUUGGGGGAGGCGGCCAGCCACGUCCCACACUGCUGGAUCCGGUCAGAUCAUUUGGCAACUCCAUCAUUGUAGUUAAAUGUGUUCCACAAAAUAGGUUGUUUUAUGUGAAAUUAUGCAUUUACCAAUAAACGUCUGGUGAUUUGCUGCUGCCUAUGAGGGAGAUGGAAAACGGAAGAAGAAAAGGUGAAGGAAAUGGAAGAUGCGCCCCCAGCUCCAACAAAGGAUUAAACCACAAUCAGUCGGCAAUAAUAAGCUGGAGUGACUAAAAGUAUGUUGCAUCUUCCUGUCAAAAAAGAAACAAAGGUUCAUGGAGGAUACCUUGCGGAUCUACUGACCAGUAAGGUAAGGGGUAAAAGCCAAACCUCUCAUGUCUGGUCAUCUUUUAGGCACGUGCUUUGUUUGCAUACUUCUGGUUGCCAAAGUUCCUCCUCUGAAAGCAAUUCAGAAUAGAAUCACUUAUGCAUCUAGGUUCACUGAAGAGACAGGUAAACCAAAGCAAAGAAUUGUUUUAUGAGAUAUUGUUAGAAGAUGAAGCUGCAUAUUACUAGUUUUGAAGUUUAGUUCGUAGCCUGAAAUGAGUACCAGAAAUGCAUUAUUAUGAGA